rnacentral:snoRNA from 1 species
UUGCUGUGAUGACAAUCUUAGGACACCUUUGGAAUACCCAUGAAAAAAACCUCAAAGCUAUUUCUGAGCAAC